rnacentral:lncRNA from 10 species
AAAACCGACGCGACCCGAGCUGGGCUGCGGAAAUGGCGCCCAUGUCCCGGCUCCGGCCAGGUCGUGAUCAGGAGACAGAUAUGAGGCCUCACUCCAUCACCCAGGCUGGAUUGCAGAGACACGAUCAUAGCUCACUACAGCCUCUAACUCUUGGGUUCAAGCGAUCCUCUCACCUCAGCCUCCAUAGUUCUUAGCUGGGACUACAAGUGUGCAGCAUCACACCUGGCUAAUAAUUCCAUCCUUAACCCUCUGCGAGGGAUGCCAUUUGCCUUCUGAAUAAACCCAGACUCCUUCAGGAGGCUUACAAGGUCCUGGGCCACAUUUUUAGCCUUUCUUCCAUCCACUCCACCACAGACUUUAAGAUGCAGUAAAAAUGGUUCUCACUUCCUUGCCUUACCACAGCUGUGCCAUCCACCUGUCGUGCCCACUACCCAUCUGCCUCUUCAGGCAGGACUGUGUGGAUUGGAUGUUGCCAGAUCACAGUGGCCUGUUCACUCUCCUGGUUCCUCCUCAAGGACUGAGCACCUUAAUUGCAUGUCAGUCUUAUUGUACUUGGACUCCCUCAUGUCUACCGCGGCAUAUGUGGAGUGAGUGAGUGAGUGAAUGAAUGAAUGAAUGAAGGGGUUAAGAUUUGGACCAGCUUGUCCCUGAGGGGUCCAGUGAGUUUCGAAGAUGUACCUCAAGCAAAUAAUCAUAAUCAGGUUGCAUGCCCACCCAAUGCCAGCAGAGGAGACCAGAGACCAGCGGGCAGGUGGAAGCUGUGCCCCCAGGAGUCUAAGAAGUCUCUGGCCUGGCCAGAGGGUACUUCCAAAGCCUGUGUGAGAAGUUCCAUCUUCCCGUCCCUCAUCUCAGGCCAACUCUUUUGACAAUCCCAGGAAACAGGUAUGAGGCCUUUUGUUUUGCUUAGAGACAGGGUCUCUCUCGCCUCAUUUUUUUUUUGAGACGGAGUUUCGCUCUAUUGCCCAGGCUGGAGUGCAGUGGUGCAGUCUUGGCUCACUGCAAGCUCCACCUUCCAGGUUCACGCCAUUCUCCUCCCUCAGCCUCCCG